UACGUAGGGUGCGAGCGUUGUCCGGAAUUACUGGGCGUAAAGGGCUCGUAGGUGGUUUGUCGCGUCGUCUGUGAAAUUCCGGGGCUUAACUCCGGGCGUGCAGGCGAUACGGGCAUAACUUGAGUACUGUAGGGGUAACUGGAAUUCCUGGUGUAGCGGUGAAAUGCGCAGAUAUCAGGAGGAACACCGAUGGCGAAGGCAGGUUACUGGGCAGUUACUGACGCUGAGGAGCGAAAGCAU
rnacentral:rRNA from 1 species